rnacentral:rRNA from 1 species
AUUGAACGCUGGCGGCAGGCCUAACACAUGCAAGUCGAGCGGAUGAGUGGAGCUUGCUCCAUGAUUCAGCGGCGGACGGGUGAGUAAUGCCUAGGAAUCUGCCUGGUAGGGGGGGAUAACACUUCGAAAGACGUGCUAAUACCGCAUACGUCCUGAGGGGGAAAGCGGGGGAUCGCAAGACCUCGCGCGAUUGGAUUGGCCGCUGUCAGAUUAGCUAGUAGGUGGGGUAAAGGCCUACCAAGGCAACGAUCUGUAGCUGGUCUGAGAGGAGUAUCAGAAACACUGGGACUGAGACACGGCCCAGACUCCUACGGGAGGCAGCAGUGGGGAAUUUUGGACAAUGGGGCAACCCUGAUCCAGGCAUUCCGCGUGAGUGAAGAAGGCCUUCGGGUUGUAAAGCUCUUUCGGCAGGAACGAAACGGUGAGCUCUAACAUAGCUUGCUAAUGACGGUACCUGAAGAAGAAGCACCGGCUAACUACGUGCCAGCAGCCGCCGCGGUAA